AGCUUGUUCACAAAUCAAAUGUAUUCCUGGUGUUGUGUAUUAUGUUCAUUAUUUUAUAAUAUCAUAUAAUAUUGUUUUAUAUUUUUAUUAGGUGCAAUUCAAAACAAAUUUCCUAUUACUACAAAAGCUGGUAUCAUAGAAUUCAUAAGCCCAUGUAUGGCUCAAAGCGAAACCAGAAUUAAAAGGUGCAAUUCAAAACAAAUUUCCUAUUACUACA